rnacentral:rRNA from 1 species
UGGGGAACCUGCCCCAUAGUCUGGGAUACCACUUGGAAACAGGUGCUAAUACCGGAUAAGAAAGCAGAUCGCAUGAUCAGCUUUUAAAAGGCGGCGUAAGCUGUCGCUAUGGGAUGGCCCCGCGGUGCAUUAGCUAGUUGGUAAGGUAAAGGCUUACCAAGGCGAUGAUGCAUAGCCGAGUUGAGAGAUUGAUCGGCCACAUUGGGACUGAGACACGGCCCAAACUCCUACGGGAGGCAGCAGUC